GGCAGGCCUAACACAUGCAAGUCGAGCGAGAUCUUCGGAUCUAGCGGCGGACGGGUUAGUAACGCGUGGGAACGUACCCAAAGGUAGGGAAUAGCCACUGGAAACGGUGAGUAAUACCCUAUGUGCCCUUCGGGGGAAAGAUUUAUCGCCUUUGGAUCGGCCCGCGUUAGAUUAGAUAGUUGGUGGGGUAACGGCCUACCAAGUCUACGAUCUAUAGCUGGUUUUAGAGGAUGAUCAGCAACACUGGGACUGAGACACGGCCCAGACUCCUACGGGAGGCAGCAGUGGGGAAUCUUGGACAAUGGGGGCAACCCUGAUCCAGCCAUGCCGCGUGAGUGAUGAAGGCCUUAGGGUCGUAAAGCUCUUUCGCCUGUGAAGAUAAUGACUGUAGCAGGUAAAGAAACCCCGGCUAACUCCGUGCCAGCAGCCGCGGUAAUACGGAGGGGGUUAGCGUUGUUCGGAAUUACUGGGCGUAAAGCGCGCGUAGGCGGACUGGAAAGUUGGGGGUGAAAUCCCAGGGCUCAACCCUGGAACUGCCUCCAAAACUAUCAGUCUAGAGUUCGAGAGACGUGAGUGGAAUUCCGAGUGUAGAGGUGAAAUUCGUAAAUAUUCGGAGGAACAC
rnacentral:rRNA from 1 species